CAUGGUUCUGGUGCUCUGCCUGCAGGUCAAGAAGGAGCCAGUAUCUCCAGGAGGAGUGAGAGAGUGCUCUGCCAGUGUGAAGUGUGAAUCCUUGAGAGGCUGUGGCAAGGGUCCAUGCCUGAAUGUGUAGAACAAGAACAGCUGGAGGCUGUGGCUUUCUCCAGGAAGAGGUUUCUAAAUCUGCCUCUUAGAAGAUAUCAGAAAGUUAAAGUUUCUCUUGCUGCCGCCGUGUAAGAAGGACCUUUUGCCUCCCACCAUGAUUCUAAGUCCUCCCCAGCCACGUGGAACUGCUUUCAUUUGGUCUCUUUUCGAAUCAGAAGACCCAGAAAACUUGGAUCCACUUCUGGCUCUCAUCCCUCUGGGCAGUGUGAUUUGGAAAUUGCCAAGACAUACAGUAUUUUUCCUGCCUUUCCAAUACCUAUUCAGGAGCAAAAACCAUGAU
rnacentral:lncRNA from 1 species